UAGCCAUCUCUCUUCAUCAGCGCCAGAGCAAGCUCCACAGUGUGCCGUCGAGUUCUAGGCAGCUCCAGGGACGCUUCAUGAAAGGUUAAGUUCAUGACUUUAGAGACUAGUUCUUUUCUGCCGUUCGAAAGAAUUUCUGUGCUAACGGGCACUGUUGAUGCAGCUAGACCAAGGAAAGCUUCCAGCUGCUUUCCAUGAGCUUGGGUGAUUUCUUGGAGGAGCCAAGAAGUUUCACUGGCGAUUUCUAGUUGCUCGUCGUGACAGAGGUAUGGCCAGAUACUUCUCAAUAUGUUCCCUGCACAGGCACUUACAUCUUGGUUCCCAGCUUUGAGAAUGGCGAUGAAGCUUUCGAGCAUUUGAUGUGAUCUUAUAACUCGGGAGGAGUUUUUGGAGCUCUUCAGGACUAAAAGGUACACAGCCUCUCCAGCCUUUAAGCGCACUGUGAAUUCGAUGCCUUCUUGAUCGUGUUCGUCUUUAAGAAAUAGAGCUAGAAGGCUGUGAACUAGCCCGCCAGUUCCUGCUAUGUUCUCCUUGAUGCCAUCAUCUAAUGCCAGGCUUGUGAUGAUGUCCACAGCUAGACCCCGGAGAACUGGAUGAGCUCCACAGUGCUGAA
rnacentral:lncRNA from 1 species